rnacentral:rRNA from 1 species
AACGAACGCUGGCGGCAGGCCUAACACAUGCAAGUCGAACGCGCGUAGCAAUACGCGAGUGGCGCACGGGUGAGUAACACGUGGGAAUCAACCCUGAGGUUCGGAAUAACCGCGGGAAACUGCGGCUAAUACCGGAUGUCCCCUAUGGGGAAGAUUUAUCGCCUUGGACGGAGCCCGCGUCCGAUUAGCUAGUUGGUGAGGUAACGGCUCACCAAGGCUACGAUCGGUAGCUGGUCNGAGAGGAUGACCAGCCACACUGGAACUGAGAUACGGUCCAGACUCCUACGGGA